UACGAAGGGGGCUAGCGUUGUUCGGAAUUACUGGCGUAAAGCGUAUGCAGGCGGAUCGUUAAGUCAGGGUGAAAUCCUGGAGCUCAACUCCAGAACUGCCUUUGAUACUGGCGAUCUCGAGUCCGGGAGAGGUGAGUGGAACUGCGAGUGUAGAGGUGAAAUUCGUAGAUAUUCGCAAGAACACCAGUGGCGAAGGCGCUCACUGGCCCGGUACUGACGCUGAGGUGCGAAAGCGUGGGGAGCAACAGG
rnacentral:rRNA from 1 species